rnacentral:misc_RNA from 1 species
GUUGUUGGUUACACCACACCGGACUCUCUCUUAAGCUGCUUCUCUUCUUUGCUAUCGGCCGAGGCAGGCUUUAUAAGCCUGGUCGACGAGAAAGCCUGGGAUGUGAAUUCAGCUGCGCUCCCUUUUCGUAUGAGAAUUCCCAGGGUUCCAAUCCAUGCGCGAGACCAGCCCUCUUUUGGCUUGGACUAUGUCUCCCGUGGGCUGUAGGUAUUGGCAACGCCUUAAGUCGCUACACCCCGGUUUUCGAUACCCCAGUGGCUCUGUAGAGAUCGGGAUAUAUUUGCUGAACCUACUGCCCUUCCACCUAAAAGGAUCAUAGAUAGAAUCCCUUUGGCUCUCCACCUGUCAACCAGAGGCCUUACAGGUAUGCUAGCCUGCAGAAGGAUGUCCUGGAGAAACUAGUGAAUGAAAUCUGGGGAUCACCAUUCCACAUUGAUUCCGAG